UGUAAUGUGUUCCACUGAUGCAUAGGGUGGUUUCUUCUUUCCACCAAUGUAUGUAUGUAUAAAUAUACCAACUGAUGUAAGCAUGAAGUGUACAUUCUAUUUUGAACAAACCGACAUGUUUCUGUACCUUGUAAGGAACUUGGUCAGUGGUAUAUAAGCUAUGGUCACUGUUAAAGCCUCAGAGAAACUGAGAAACGGAGAAACGGAGAAAGAACAUACAGCUGGCAAAGACAACAAGUUUCUCUCCUAUGCCUGAUACAUAUUUUCUCUCCUAUGCCUGAUACAUGUGUCAAUAAAUAUUUUUGACAAGGCAACUGG